CUAAAAUGCACAGGUCGUGAGUUCGAUGAGUAGGGCGGGACACGUGACAUCCUGUCUGAAUAUGGGGGGACCAUCCUCCAAGGCUAAAUACUCCUGACUGACCGAUAGUGAACCAGUACCGUGAGGGAAAGGCGAAAAGAACCCCGGCGAGGGGAGUGAAAUAGAACCUGAAACCGUGUACGUACAAGCAGUGGGAGCACCUUCGUGGUGUGACUGCGUACCUUUUGUAUAAUGGGUCAGCGACUUAUAUUUUGUAGCAAGGUUAACCGUAUAGGGGAGCCGUAGGGAAACCGAGUCUUAACUGGGCGAAUAGUUGCAAGGUAUAGACCCGAAACCCGGUGAUCUAGCCAUGGGCAGGUUGAAGGUUGGGUAACACUAACUGGAGGACCGAACCGACUAAUGUUGAAAAAUUAGCGGAUGACUUGUGGCUGGGGGUGAAAGGCCAAUCAAACCGGGAGAUAGCUGGUUCUCCCCGAAAGCUAUUUAGGUAGCGCCUCGUGAACUCAUCUUCGGGGGUAGAGCACUGUUUCGGCUAGGGGGCCAUCCCGGCUUACCAAACCGAUGCAAACUCCGAAUACCGAAGAAUGUUAUCACGGGAGACACACGGCGGGUGCUAACGUCCGUCGUGAAGAGGGAAACAACCCAGACCGCCAGCUAAGGUCCCAAAGUCAUGGUUAAGUGGGAAACGAUGUGGGAAGGCAUAGACAGCCAGGAUGUUGGCUUAGAAGCAGCCAUCAUUUAAAGAAAGCGUAAUAGCUCACUGGUCGAGUCGGCCUGCGCGGAAGAUGUAACGGGGCUAAACCAUGCACCGA
rnacentral:rRNA from 1 species